CCCACUGGCACCUGCGGAGGAACCUCCGUCCCCUCUGAUUCCCUACAUUCUUGACCUGGAGAGUCCAGGGUCAGCCCUGAAUGCACAGCCACAUCGGAGCGGCCAGCCUGGGUAAAUGAAUGAACGGCACCAAAUCCCACGGUUAGGAGAGCACCAAAGUUUCAAGACAAAAAUCACAGGAACCACUGAUGGCGCCCAGUGAAUCGCUUUUAUUUCGGUAUGCAUCCACAUCUCAGCAUUUAGUGGUCCUGAACAGAAAAGUGGAAAAA